AAAAGAUAAAGAUGAAUAGAUAAUAGUUAAAGUAGAAUAAGUUACCUCGUAAAGGAUAUUACCUUAGGUAAGUUGCUAAUGGUCAAAGGCUUGACUCUUGGCAUAUAGAAAAAGCAUCCUAUGGACAUAGGAUGCGGUCAAGAACAAAGAGUCAAAGUCAAGAGGAUAAAGUGUGUCCUAGGGAAUAUCCAAAGAACUAGGUAAGAGUAAUUAGUAUAUGGCAUAGGAUACCCUCGUGGUAUGUAAGAUGCCAUAGAAUCCUAGGAUCCUUGGAUACCCUCGUGGUAUGAGCCAAAGGAUUCAAGGAGCAUAUGUGUAAAAGUCAAAUGGUGGAAGAAGUCCUUUUAGGGUAGCAACCACCACCUAUAAGUAACGAGAGUUGGAAGAGAGAACCAUCUCAUUCCACACUUCUCUUAUGUGCAACCUUGCUGAUUUCUACUUACUUGUGUUAUGCUUAUAGUGUUCUUUUCUCAAUAGGUUAUGGGCCCACACACUCUUUGUUGUGCUAUUCAAGUAAGUUGAAGUCAUUUUCUCUUUGUUGCUUUUGUGUCGAUUAGAUCUUAUGGUAUUUGUUGAUGUUAGGUUUGUUGGUAUAAGGAGGCUAUUGGUAUUAAGCUUGUACAUCUCUAACAUUGCUUUGUGGAUUCUUAUCUCCUUGCUUUGUGAGGUUAAGACUUUGUAGAAAGACCUUGAUAGUGUCUUUUGAGUUGGUGAAGUUUCUUCAUUAUUCUUGAGUGUUUUGAUGAGAAAGUGAUUAAGACGAGUGAUUGUGAGUUCCAUGAGGGUGCAAUUACUUAUAGAAAGCUUCAAAAGUUGAGUUGAAAGUGUUUUCAGUGAGAUACCACUCUUUUGUUCAUAACAGGGCAUUCUGAGAUUCUGCUAGUGCAAACUUUGUUUGGUGAUUUUAAACUUUUAGAGACUCUUUUUUUCAAUAUUUUUUGAUACACUCCUCCUUAGAUAUGGCUUCUAGUGAAGGUGAAGGUUUGAGAGUGAUUGAGAAGUUUAGAGGCAACAAUUUCUACCAUUGGAAGGUCAAAAUGGAGCUUUUGUUGGCAUUUUUGGACCUUUGGGAUAUUGUAGAUGAGAAUGAAGACCCUCCAAGCAUAGAUGCAAGCCCUAAGGACCACAAGGACUUCAAAAGACGUGAAAAGAAGGCUUUUGGCAUGAUUGCCACCAAUUUGGAUGAAGCCAACUUUUCUCACAUUAUCCAUUGCAAAGGACCAACGGAAGCAUAGAAGACACUUUGCAACAUAUAUGAGAGCAAGAACUUGUCCAACAUCCUCUUCACAAGAAGGAAAUUCUUCACUUGUAAGAUGGAAGAAGGUGAAGACCUCAUGGCACAUGUUAAUAAGGUAAAAGCCCUUGCAAAUCAACUAGCAAUUAUUGACAAGCCUUUAGAGGAUGGUGACAUUGUCAUGACUCUACUCAUGAGUCUUCUCGAGUCCUACAACUACCUCAUUGUGGCAUUGGAGUCUUUGAGGUUGAAGGAACUUACAAUGGACUAUGUGACAUCAAGACUUGCACAUGAAGUAACUAAAAGGAAAGAGAAGGAGCAUCAAAGUGAAGAUUCAACUCUCUUCUCAAGACAAGGCAAAGGUACCUAUUCCAACCAACGUGACAAUGUGAGAAGCAAUGCAAGAACUUGCUUCAUUUGUAGAAAACCGGGUCAUUUUGCACGAAAUUGCUACAAGGCCAAGAAAAGAGAUAGAGAAAAUGCUAACAAUGCAUGUGAUGAAGUUGAUGGAGAUGAUUAUGCAUUCAUAGCAAGUGAAGGCACGUCUAUGGCUGCCAUGUCCAAAUGGAUCAUUGAUUCGGGUGCUACCAAGCAUAUGACUCCAUACAAGUGUUCAUUUGACACUUAUGAGACUAUUCCAACAACAAAAGUAUGGUUAGGAGAUAAUGGCAUGGUGCAAGCCAUUGGAAUUGGCUCCAUUGUGGUGGAGAUUGUUGUAAAGAAUCAAAUGAAGAAGAUCAGAUUGAAAGAAGUGUUACAUGUGCCAAAGAUGAAGAAGAACCUUCUUUCGGUGAGUAAAGUUGUUUUUCAUGGUUGCAAGGUGCAAUUUGAUAUGAAUGGAUGCUUUGUGAAGACAAUGGAUGGAGAUAAUCUUUUGAAAGGCUUUAGAGAUGGCAAUCUCUACUUCAUCAAUUGUAAGAAGAUGAAUGGAGUUGAAGUGGCAGUAUUUGCUGAAUUUCCACAAGAUCAAGAUAAGUUUGGCAUUUGGCAUUGACGCCUUGGUCAUUUGAAUGCCAAAAGUAUGAAGGAGCUCCAAUCCAUGGUUAGUGGCUUAGAUCUUGGUCAAUCAUGCACAAAUCUUACUUGUGAAGGUUGUAUUCAAGGCAAACAACAAAGAGCUUCAUUUCCAAGUGGAGUUACAACAGGUGCAACCAAAUUGUUGGAGAUUAUGCAUUCUGAUGUUUGUGGAUCUAUGAGGACACCAUCAAUGGUAGGAUCAAGAUACUUUGUUACAUUUAUUGAUGACUUUUCAAGGAAGGUGUGGAUUUUCAUCCUUAAAUCCAAAAAUGAAUGCUUUUCAAAGUUUAAGGAAUUUAAGGCACUUAUGGAGAAGCAAUGUCAGUGCAAGAUCAAGAUGUUGCAUACAGACAAUGGAGGUGAGUAUUUGUCAAAGCAUUUUGAUGAGUAUUUGAAGAUUCAUGGUAUUGCAAGACAAACUUCCACUCCCUAUACUCCACAACAAAAUGAAAUUGCUGAAAGAGCAAAUCGAACUAUUGUGGAGAUAGCAAGGAGUAUGAUUCAUGCUCAAAACCUUGGGCAUGAAUUUUGGGCGGAAGCUAUGGUCAAUGCAGUGUAUACAAGGAAUAGGUGUCCUACAAAUGCACUUACAUCAAUGACUCCACAAGAAGCUUGGAGUAGGAGGAAACCUUGUAUUUCACACAUGAGGACUUUUGGAUGCAUUGCUUAUGCAAAGGUACCAGAUUGUAUGCGGUCCAAAUUUGAUGCAAAAGGUACAAAAUGUGUGUUUCUUGGAUAUUAUGAAGGUACCAAGGCAUAAAGGCUAAUGUGUUUGGAUACCAAGAAGAUCAUAAAAAGUCGUGAUGUUGAAUUUAUGGAGCAUAAAAGUGCUUGUGAGCACUUGGAGAUGUGUCCAAGUGGGAGUAAUGGUGUGUUUGUGGACACAUCUUCAAUUUCAGCAACGAAAGAAGAAGAAGAAGAUGAAGACAAUGAAGAUAGUGGAGAUUUGAAUCAACAUGAAGAACCAAAGAAGAUGAAGAAGAAGAAGAAGAAAGUGUAUACAAUUGGGAUGACAAACAAUGAAGAAGUUGAAGGUGAUGAUGAUGAUGAGGAAUACCAACCUUUGAGUGAGAAGAGACAAGGUUCAAAAGAAAAGAAGGUUGGAGAGCAUCAAAGUGAAUCUUUUUCAAAUGAUAGGAGAUAUCCUACAAGAGAAAAAAAACAACGUGGUGAAUGGUGGAAGGACAUCUUUCCUAAAGUACAUCUUUCCUAAAAUAAGUGAAGAACAUGCCAAUGUUGCACUCCUUGCUGAUCCAUUGAAUAUAUGUGAUGCUAUGAAGUCUACGAAUGCGUUGAAGUGGGAGGAGGCUAUGGAAGAAGAGUACAAAUCUCUCAUGAGCAAUGGAACAUGGGAAUUGACUCAACUUCCACCAAAUCGAUCUUCAAUUGGUUAUAAGUAGGUGUUUAGAACCAAGAGGGAUGCAAUGGGUGAUAUUGUGAGAUAUAAGGCAAGGCUAGUUGCCAAAGGAUACUCACAAGUUGUUGUGUUGAUUUCAAUGAGACAUUUGCUCCCGUGGCUACGUUCACCACCAUUAGAACCAUUGUGGCAAUUGGGGCAGCAAUAGACUUGGAGAUGCAUCAAAUGGAUGUGAAGACGGCUUUCUUGAAUGGAGAAUUGGAAGAAGACAUCUACAUGGAUCAAUCUCAAGGAUUUGUAGAAGAAUGCAAGCAACAUCUUGUUUGUAAGUUGAAGAAAUCCUUAUAUGGACUCAAGCAAUCUCUAAGGGCAUGGUAUCAAAGAAUUGACACAUUCUUUGUUAAUGAGGGAUUCCAAAGAAGUGAGGCUGACCAUUCUAUGUAUGUGAUACAAUCAAAAGAGUUCUUGAUGAUUGUUAUCCUUUAUGUAGAUGAUUUAAUCAUCUUAACCAAUACUUUAAAGAUGAUGGAUUGGUUGAAGGCAAAGUUAGAAAAGGAAUAUGAGAUGAGUGAUUUGGGAGAGCUUCACUAUUGCUUAGGAGUGGAAUUUACAAGAGAUCGUGCUAACAAGACCAUCACAAUGAGCCAAAGGAAGUACAUUGAAGGAGUGUUGAAACGAUUCAACAUGGAGGAUUGCAAGCCCAUUGGAACACCUUUGGAGUCCAAUUUGAAGUUGAUGAAGCUCACGGAUGAAGAGUUUGCACAAGUUGAAGGCCAAGUGCAAGGUGUUCCAUACAAGGCAGCAGUUGGGUCACUCAUGUAUGUAAUGGUUGGUACAAGGGUGGAUCUUACUUAUGCGGUUAGUGUCGUAAGUCAACACAUAUCAAAAGUAGGACCAAUUCAUUGGGCAACCAUCAAGAGGAUCAUGAGGUACUUGAAAGGCACUUUGGACUUCAAAUUGUGCCUUGGAGGUGAAAGUAUUGCUUUGCAUGGUUAUUGUGAUGCUGAUUGGGCUGGAAAUGCAAAUGAUAGGCGGUCAACAACGGGCUAUGUAUUCUUUGUUGGAGUGGGAGCAAUUUCAUGGAAUUGCAAGAGGCAACCCACAAUUGCAAGGUCCACAAUGGAGGCGGAGUAUAUGGCAGCAAGCCCAGGUGCAAUGGAAGCAACAUGGUUAAGGCAAGUUUUGGAGGACAUUGGACUUGUACAAUUGGAAGCAACUCCAUUGAAUUGUGAUAAUCAAGGAUGCCUUGCUUUUACAAAGAAUCCAAAGCAUCAUUCAAGAAUCAAGCACAUUGACAUUCAACAUCACUUUAUAAGAGAGAAGAUUGAAAUGGGAGUGAUUGACUUGAAGUAUUGUGCAACAGAAGAUAUGCUUACUGAUUUGUUAACAAAGACAUUGGUCAAAGAUAGACAUCAUAUAUUGACAAAGGCAUUAGAUUUGAAGGGCUUUGAUAAUUAGCAAAGUGGGAGUGUUGAGGUAAAAGAUAAAGAUGAAUAGAUAAUAUUUAAAGUAGAAUAAGUUACCUCGUAAAGGAUAUUACCUUAGGUAAGUUGCUAAUGGUCAAAGGCUUGACUCUUGGCAUAUAGAAAAAGCAUCCUAUGGACAUAGGAUGCGGUCAAGGACAAAGAGUCAAAGUCAAGAGGAUAAAGUGUGUCCUAGGGAAUAUCCAAAGAACUAGGUAAGAGUAAUUAGUAUAUGGCAUAGGAUACCCUCGUGGUAUGUAAGAUGCCAUAG
rnacentral:lncRNA from 1 species